GAUCCAAGACUAUCUCCAGCUGCUAUAGCAGGAAUAAGUGUUGGUGUUAUUUUGCUAUUCAUUGCUGCUGCUGCUGCUGCUGCUGCUUACUAUCGUAAGUGUCAAGACAGGACAAAAAAGGACAUUGAGAUGCAGCACAAUCAAGGUCGAGAUCAGAAGAAUGGUACUGUAGAAGACUCGUCCCCUGAUCAGACAGUCCCUCUAAUGAACCACGCUGCCAAUGGGACAUCCCCUAAUCCGACAGAUCCUCUAAUGAAAAGCGCUACCAAUGGGACGUCCCCUAAUCCGACAGAUCCUCUAAUGAAAAGCGCUACCAAUGGGACGUCCCCUAAUCCGACAGAUCCUCUAAUGAAAAGCGCUACCACUGGAACAUCCCCUA